GAUGAAGAACGUAGCGAAAUGCGAUAAGUAAUGUGAAUUGCAGAAUUCAGUGAAUCAUCGAAUCUUUGAACGCACAUUGCUCCCCCUGGUAUUCCGGGGGGCAUGCCUGUCCGAGCGUCAUUACAACCCUCAAGCUCAGCUUGGUGUUGGGCCCCGCCGCCCCGGCGGGCCCUAAAGUCAGUGGCGGUGCCGUCCGGCUCCGAGCGUAGUAAUUCUUCUCGCUCUGGAGGUCCGGUCGUGUGCUCGCCAGCAACCCCCAAUUUUUUUCAGGUUGACCUCGGAUCAGGUAGGGAUACCCGCUGAACUUAAGCAUAUCAAUAAGCGGAGGA
rnacentral:misc_RNA from 1 species